rnacentral:rRNA from 1 species
AACGAACGCUGGCGGCAUGCCUAACACAUGCAAGUCGAACGCCUAUAGCAAUAUAGGAGUGGCGCACGGGUGAGUAACGCGUGGGAACCUGCCCCGAGGUGGGGGAUAACCGAUGGAAACGUCGGCUAAUACCGCAUACGUCCUAAGGGAGAAAGAUUUAUCGCCUUGGGAGGGGCCCGCGUCGGAUUAGCUAGUUGGUGGGGUAACGGCCUACCAAGGCGAUGAUCCGUAGCUGGUCUGAGAGGAUGAUCAGCCACACUGGGACUGAGACACGGCCCAGACUCCUACGGGAGGCAGCAGUGGGGAAUAUUGGACAAUGGGCGCAAGCCUGAUCCAGCAAUGCCGCGUGAGUGAUGAAGGCCUUAGGGUUGUAAAGCUCUUUCGGCGGGGACGAUGAUGACGGUACCCGCAGAAGAAGCCCCGGCUAACUUCGUGCCAGCAGCCGCCGU